rnacentral:rRNA from 1 species
UACAGAGGUCCCGAGCGUUGUUCGGAUUCACUGGGCGUAAAGGGUGCGCAGGUGGGUUGGUAAGUUUGGUGUGAAAGCUUCGGGCUUAACCCGGAAAAUGCAUUGAAUACUACUGAUCUGGAGGAUUGGAGGGGGACUGGAAUUCUUGGUGUAGCAGUGAAAUGCGUAGAUAUCAAGAGGAACACCAGUGGCGAAGGCGAGUCCCUGGACAAUACCUGACACUGAGGCACGAAAGCCAAGGGAGCAAACAGG